rnacentral:rRNA from 1 species
GCCUACCAUGGUUUUAACGGGUAACGGGGAAUUAGGGUUCGAUUCCGGAGAGGGAGCCUGAGAAACGGCUACCACAUCCAAGGAAGGCAGCAGGCGCGCAAAUUACCCAAUCCCGACACGGGGAGGUAGUGACAAUAAAUAACAAUACGGGGCUCAUUUGGGUCUCGUAAUUGGAAUGAGUACAAUUUAAAUCCCUUAACGAGGAACAAUUGGAGGGCAAGUCUGGUGCCAGCAGCCGCGGUAAUUCCAGCUCCAAUAGCGUAUAUUAAAGUUGUUGCAGUUAAAAAGCUCGUAGUUGAACCUCGGGGUCUACCCAUUGGUCAGGCUUAAUUGUCUGCACUGGUGAGAUGGAUCUCUACCUUCUGAGGAACUUUCAUGCCAUUUAUUUGGUGUGAUGGGAAAUCAGGACUGUUACUUUGAAAAAAUUAGAGUGUUUAAAGCAGACUAUCGUCUGAAUACAUUAGCAUGGAAUAAUGAAAUAGGACGGGCUGAUUCUAUUUCGUUGGUUUCUAGGAUCACCGUAAUGAUUAAUAGGGAUAGUUGGGGGCAUUAGUAUUCAAUUGUCAGAGGUGAAAUUCUUGGAUUUAUUGAAGACUAACUACUGCGAAAGCAUUUGCCAAGGAUGUUUUCAUUAAUCAAGAACGAAAGUUAGGGGAUCGAAGACGAUCAGAUACCGUCGUAGUCUUAACCAUAAACUAUGCCGACUAGGGAUCGGACGAAGUUAAUUUUAUAAUGACGCGUUCGGCACCUUACG